rnacentral:rRNA from 1 species
CAUCCUCCAAGGCUAAAUACUCCUGACUGACCGAUAGUGAACCAGUACCGUGAGGGAAAGGCGAAAAGAACCCCGGCGAGGGGAGUGAAAAAGAACCUGAAACCGUGUACGUACAAGCAGUGGGAGCCCCACCACCAAAGCAUUCUCUGGUGUUGAAGGCCCUGCAAAGCAGCAUCGCGGUGGCGGAGCGUCGUUUGCGACGCCCAACACACAAAACAAGCGGUGAGUGCUUUGGGGUGGGGUGACUGCGUACCUUUUGUAUAAUGGGUCAGCGACUUAUAUUCUGUAGCAAGGUUAACCGAAUAGGGGAGCCGGAGGGAAACCGAGCCUUAAUUGGGCGUUAAGUUGCAGGGUAUAGACCCGAAACCCGGUGAUCUAGCCAUGGGCAGGUUGAAGGUUGGGUAACACUAACUGGAGGACCGAACCGACUAAUGUUGAAAAAUUAGCGGAUGACC